GCGCGCUUCCGGCGGCGGGAUGGCGGGACCGGGUUCCGAAACCUGGCGGCUGGUUUGCAGGAUUCCGACUGGAUCCCUUGCCUCCCCCAGCGCUGGGUCCGCGUCGGAGGGGGCUCUGCGGCGGGGUGGCGCGCACCAGGCGCUCGGCCUCAACUAGGCCUCCUCGCCCCCAACGUGGCCUAAAUUCGCCUCCAGAACCCGGAAGGCCCUUAGCAAGCACAGACUUAAUGGGCGCUGUUUACAAAAAUUAACUGCUGUUUUCGAAGCGCCUGCGACGAGUGAGGGGCCGUACACAGAAUACCCUUGAACAGGACGGCGUUACUGUUCCCACUGGACAGAAGGGAACACCGAGUUUCCCAGAGCUCCGGUGCCCGGGCCCCGCUCAGGGCGGCUGUCUUCCUCCUCGGGGCUGGAUGCGGGACACUCGAGUCCCUGAGACCCCGGUGGGGAGGGUCCGUGGCGGCUCCGGCGCGUGCGCCCAGGCUCCGCGCCAGCCGCCAACGUGUCUCCGCCCCUAAGGGCGCCGGAAGGUCAGGGUAGGGGUAAGAGGGUGGCUGGCGGGGUCCUAAACCUUAGCACCUGCCCGCCCCUGGCCCUCUCGCGGUGGGCCAUUCAGACCUACGCGGCCUUGUUUCUCCACCUCCGUGUGCGCCCCCACCCCCACGCCAGGCAGUCUUCUCUCCCUUUCUGCCGCGGUGCCACUGGAAGCCCCUCUCUGGGGUGGAGGGGUGUUGGCCUCACCCUCUGAACAGGACGCGGGCCGGCCUGGGCUCUGGGUGUGGUCUCAGCACAGCCUGGACACUGCUGCCACCUGGUCUUGUGGUGGGUGUUGUGGAAGAAAGCGUGCGUAAAAUGCUCCUUAAGUGUUUCCGUGCUCCUGGUGUGUCCUCUCUCUGUCCCUGACCCUUGCCCCACUCAGAGGCCGUUCUGUAGCCAUAGAGGUCCCCUGCCGUGCUUCAAAUUAUAUGAUACCUUCCCUGCCCACUUAGAGACGCAGGAAGACCGUACUUAUCUCUCUGAGCCACUUCUGUCUCCGUCCCUGCGCUUCAACCCCUCUGGCCUGAAACACUCUGCCCCUGCCCCUCACACAGCUGCCCUCUUCUUGUUAGCGGCUCAGUUGGCGUCUUAGACCGGCCUUCAUUCUGUCACUGUCUUCAUGCACGUGUCAGCAUUGGAAAGCCUCUUACUCUCCUGUCGGUGUCUCUGCCCGCCCCACUUGUGCGUCCCAUGAGAGUGGACACGUUCCCUGCCUCCUUCCGGGCACCUGCCUGCCACUCAGCAAAUGUAUGUUGAAUGAAUGAUCUCUGCUUGGGCGUUUCUGGAAGCUUUCUGAAGCUGUGUCAACCGGCCUGGCUGCAGUAUUGGUCAUGCACUUCAGCACACCAUACCUUCUCAGGUCUGAGUUACAGCAGUGGAAAUGCUGACUCCAGGCCUUGUUUUGUGGUUAGAGAUGGAUUUGUAGCAGCAUAGGGUAGUACUAUCCUCUCUGGCUGCUGCAUGUUCAGACUUACUGGCCUCCCGCCUUUCUCGGAACACAGCCAAAAUUCCUUCUUCGGUUCUCUGGUCAGGUGCUCACACCAGAUGGAGUCCAGUGCAGUAAAUGCGGCUGAUUAGAUGUCUGACUUUGGAGUCAAGUCUGUUUGGCUCUACAUGCGCUUGAAUCCUACUCUCAGCUACUUUUGGUGUGACUUUGGAGAGUUGCUCAAACUCUGUGUGCCACAGGCUCUUUCUCUGCAAAAUAGAGAUGGUAAUUCACAGAGCUGCUGUGAGGAUUAAAUAAGAUAGUACAUAUAAAACUUCUGGAACGGCUUUAUACCCAGCACAGAGCCCAGUUCAGGGCUUGAACUCAAGACCCUGAGAUUAUGACCUGAGCUGAAAUCAAGAGUCGGAAGUUUAACUGAAAGAGCCACCCAUGUGCCCCUGAAAUGAGAAUCUUAAGCAACAGGAUGUUUUCUGGUGUGCUCCAUGCCAGGCUCCUGCAGCUGGCACCUCCCAAAGCACCAGAAACUUCCCUAACAUCCAGUGUCUGCAAUGCAUGAUGGUCAGCAAGACACAGCCACCAGCAGCUUCUUGGCACCCCGCUUGGGUGGCUUUAUAUUGGUGUGUUCCUGGUGUGAAUGGCUUUCUCCUGCGCCCAAGACGGUGGAUUUCUGGGAAGUUCCAGCAACUUCUCCUGCAGCAGAACCUCUGUGACUAUUGUGCCAUCCUGGGAAACACCACACAGACAAGCCUGGAGCCAUCUUGGGAGACACCACCACAGACAAGGCUGGAUCCCAUCCCCUCUGUUUUCUGAGAUUCUGCAUCCACAAAUAUCCCAUCUCCUGCUCCAGCAUUUUCUACCUUUUCACUAACUCGCUGCUGUCUCUUCUAGGGCGAUAACCCAGCUAUCACUCACCCUCCAGGCUUGCCUGGUGAUGAGUCAGCUGACUUUUAAAGCUCCAGGAUCCAAGUCCCACUGGCUUUAAAAACUCAGCCUGUCUGGUUUUUAAAGCCAAACAUUAUGGGGACUAGUUUUCCCCAUAUGAGCUUCCUCCUGCAAGGACCAGUUUCUCUGCCCUCCUCGUGUGCACAAGGCCCUCCAUCUGCCUCCAUCUCCAACCUUCCAAAACCUUCAGGUGCAGCUUCUUCUCUAAUUUAGUUGUGGACUUUGUUCUCUCAGUGUUUGCAUUGUGCUCUGAUUUAUUGACUUGGGUGUGCAUGAUACCUGGCUGUAAACGUGGGAUGGGGUUACCUCAGGGUCCUCCUACCCUGCCAUCUUCCCAAGCUCCCCAGAGUGGACUUGUGAUCCAGGGUGGUCAUAUCCAGAGACCACUCAUACCAGCUUUCAUGAUUUAGAUUAUGACAGUUGGGUCUUUGGAACUGAUGAUAUAGAGAUGAGAUUUUGAACUUGAGUUGAUGAUGUAAGGGCUUGAGACUUUUAGGAAUGUUAAGAUGGGGUGAAUAUAUUUUGCAUAUGGAGUGGACAUAAAUUUUGGGGAGCCAGAGGGUAGAGUGUGGUAGGUCGAAUAAUGGGCUUCAAAGGUAUCAAUGUCCUAAUCCCCAGAACCCAUGACUGUUCUCUUUGAUGACAAAAAGGACUUUGUGGAUGUGACUAAGUCAAUGAUCUGAAGAUGAGGAGAAUGGCCUGGAUUGUCCAGGUGGGCCCUGGAUGCAACCACAAGCAUCAUUGUACGAAGAAUGAAAUUUGACUGAGGAAGAGAAGACUUGAGUGGUGUGAGCAUGGGAGGAGCCAUAAGCUGAGGGACACAGGUAGCCCUUGGACUCUGAAAAAGAUUCAGGCUUGUUUCCGGGAAGAAACCCUGACAGAAAUUCAGAAGAACGGGAGCUGCAUUCCAUUAGGACUUGAAUACACGAAAUGUUUGUCUCAGGACCUUGUAGAAGAAUGAGCUGGGACCCACUUUCCGAGUCCUGCUGGAACCAGAGAC